UACGAAGGGGGCUAGCGUUGCUCGGAAUCACUGGGCGUAAAGCGCACGUAGGCGGCUUCUUAAGUCAGGGGUGAAAUCCUGGAGCUCAACUCCAGAACUGCCUUUGAUACUGGAGAGCUUGAGUCCGGGAGAGGUGAGUGGAACUCCGAGUGUAGAGGUGAAAUUCGUAGAUAUUCGCAAGAACACCAGUGGCGAAGGCGGCUCACUGGCCCGAUACUGACGCUGAGGCACGAAAGCUAGGGGAGCAAACAGG
rnacentral:rRNA from 1 species